UGUAUCUACAGUAUCUGCACUGACAUAGAUAUCCACAAUCCUCUCCUCCAUCUCACCUCUGAUAAACUUUACCUUCUUGUUCAUAUCUGUCUCAGCAUAGAUGACCUUUGACAUCUUUAAAAAUGCCUUCGUCUUUCUUUCUAUGUAUGUCUACUAUACAUUAAUUCUCUUAUUCUAGAAUUAAUGUGGUCGUCUUCCAACAUGGCUGCCCGGAGGCGUCGUACAUCAACUGCAGGCCCUCUAUACGUUAAGUCUCUGCUUCUAGUGAUAUCUCUGUCUCUGAGUCAUGUGUGUGUCUCUGUCUGUGUGACUAAUGUAGGUGUUAACUCUAGCGAAGUAUGAACAAAAUGACUCAGGUAGUGGUGGCCAUGCUAAUACAAAAAACAGAAGAAGUUUGCAUACUUGUGUAUAUGUGUGCGUGUGUGUGAGAGAGAUUGUUUCAGUGGUUAUUGUUAAACCAUUUUCUGAAGCACAAUAUAAAUCAUGCCACGUCUCUACAUGGUCACCUUGUCCAGAGUAUAUCUCAACACAGUCCUCCUGUCCAGGGAACAGUGAUGAUGGACAGAACACUAUCAUACCUGGAAGAUAUAAGAUACAGGAACAGAGUCAAAGGUGGCCCUCUGGUGGAUGCAAUACUAACUACAGACGCACCACAAACUCCCACUGCAGGACCCUGGCCAUGGUAACCAGGAAGUCGCCGCCACCGGUGCCGCCUAGCGACUGCAGGGUUCCGUUGACUUCUACCCCUGACCCCGAGGCCUUUCAGGAACCAUCUUAUCAGCAAGAAAAAACUCAGAAGUGGGUUGGACCAAAACCUUUCAUCACAGGUACAGGGUCCUAACAAGGUGAACAAGUGUAAGCAUCUUCUGACAGGGGGCUGGUUUCAUCAGGUCUGUGGCAGCCUUCUCUUGUCAGAAAACCAGAUAACCACGGUGGGAUCCGAACAGGAGGAGUCUGAACGUAGAAGCCUUCUGAUAGUGUCUGAAGGUCACAACACUCAGAACAGGUUUUAACACACACACAGAGGUCUCCUGAAGAGGAGACCUUACAGCUUAUCAUAAGAUCAUGUAUU